UUUAGUUUGGUUACUUCAGCAUGACCUGAUACGUAUCUGCUGCUGUAGGGUAAGAAUCCAUGAUGAGGGCUGAAGUCCACGGACAGUAUUCCCAGCUGUGUAAAUCAGAAUAGCUUUCAGAUCUUAGUGGAGCUACCCUCACUUCAUGAUGGUACAGAUUUGAGUUAUUUCUGUCAUGGUGAUGUUCUCUGCUCUUCAUUUGUGUGAUCCAAGGUGUGAAGACCUGGAAUGUAAGAGUUGUUCUGCUCUUAAACUUCUGUUGGAGUGAAGUGAGGAUCUUUAUGAGAUUGCAGUUCAACUCCUGCUGACUUUUUAAAUGAAUUGGUAAACGCAGAAGAAUGAGGGAAUAUUUGUGAAAUGGAAUGGGAAAACAAACUAUAUAAAAGAAAGAGAAGGUGCAUGCAGGAAGGAUAACGUGGAAGAAUGUGCUGUGUUGCUUCCACUGGGGUCCGCGUGUACUUAUUUGUGGGGUUCUGGAAGCAAGCCUGGAUGAUGGCAGUAUGCUUUCAGUGGUGUAACUGGCAAGCUGAAACUGAGGCACUCUGCAGGGGGCUUCAGCACUGCUUUGUGGCAAUACACAGAUUUGGUGCCGGCUCAUUGGGGCUGCAGCUUUUUGUUCGUAAGAUUUGAGCCCACCUGCCAUGGACAUAUCAUUUCUCUGACUGCUUUCCAAUAUUAUUUUUCCUGGUAUUUUUGGUAUUACUAUUACUGGCAAUUGUGAGUCUCGUGUGUUUUUGGUUUUUGUUUAUUGCAUUUCUUUUUUUGGGGUGGGUGUGUUUAAUUUUGUUUUAAU